rnacentral:rRNA from 1 species
CAGUCGCCACGGUAACACGUAGGGUGCGAGCGUUAAUCGGAAUUACUGGGCGUGAAGCGUGCGCAGGCGGUUGUGUAAGACAGGUGUGAAAUCCCCGGGCUUAACCUGGGAACUGCGCUUGUGACUGCACAGCUAGAGUAUGGCAGAGGGGGGUGGAAUUCCACGUGUAGCAGUGAAAUGCGUAGAGAUGUGGAGGAACACCGAUGGCGAAGGCAGCCCCCUGGGCCAAUACUGACGCUCAUGCACGAAAGCGUGGGGAGCAAACAGGAUUAGAUACCCCUGUAGUCCCUGUCUCUUAUAC